UACCCGUAUCCCAGAGAAAGCUGUUUUUUAGCUUCGCGUCGCCCUCCUUUUGUUGUCCUUCCGUAGUUUGGGAAAGAGAGUCGUGGUUACCGUGCCAUAGAAGAGGGAAGGAGGAGGUGGUGGCGGCGGAGGAGCGAGGGCUCCUUACGGUCCCGGAGCGGCCGCGGCUAGGAGCGGGAGGCGCGCGAGCGGAGGUCCAGGUUCGUGCGCGCUAGAGAGUACCGCCACCGCAGCCUGGUCGGGCGGCGUGGGUCGUUCAUGGGCUUCUACCGGCGAGGGUGGUGGCCGGGCCAAGGGCGGCUGCUCGACGAGCCGCAGUAGUUCCGGCGGCGGUUCCGUCCGCGGCUCCAACACUACCUUCGACAAUUAUUCGGCGCAUUAUAGGUUAUGUUUCCCCAACGUCUGAACCACUGUCUGUGUCUAUUCGACUCACUUAGUCAGUAAGAACUUCAGCAGUGGUUCUUAAAGUUUCUGGUGGAGUAUGAACCCCUCCUUCCACCGGAAUAACCUCUAAGAAACAGUCUCAUAGAGACCACGUAACUAGGAAAUCUACCUUGUUGUUUGAAACGUGUACCAAUGGGGUCGAAAAGACAUAGGUAACCGCAAGAUAAGGCUCCGUUCGGACGACGACGGUGACACCACCUUAAAACACCACCCGGAUACACGACCUUGUGAGCAUGUUAAAGACGUAGAAGACCUUUUCCACGAAUAACAUUACCCGUUUUCUAAGUACAGUCAGGUUGUCUUUUCCACCUUGUUAGAGAAGACCAAUGACCCAAACCUAUACUUGUACUACUACGUACCGACUGGUUAUAUUUAAACAAGUUCCUUAAAUGACUACAAUCGUCCCCUCAUGCUUCCGAUCCGAGACGACGACGACUAUACAGGGUACAACCAGAUCCGUAAUGGCUUCGGAUGACCCUUAUAGCCGAAUUCGGCACCCUGUACCGACGACCACAAGACUAUCAACUUCUUCGACCGCCCCAUCACUGUGCGUACCUACCACCUCUCAAAUGUCAGAAACUAGCAAGACAAGAACAAAGGUUACCGUGACAAGUACUAGUCGAAAACCUCGCCUAGGCCGGACGAUGACUUCUGGAAUUCUUCUUUCCUUAACUAAAGAGGUCCACCAAGUUCGGACUGUUAAUGGGAUGACUGAAAACUUAGUGCGUCGGGAAGUCGAUGAACCAAGAGACAGUUCGCUGGUACGUGAAUGUGACUGUUAUGUAAAGUUCCGGGAGGCUGGUUUGCCUAGCUUUUAAUUUCGGUUUGAAAUGACUUCCCCAUCUCGAGCUUACUCUAGGAGUGACCUAAGGAAAAACGAAACUACUAUCUUACAUAGUCUUUCUUUUCUCACAACAUAGCAUACGUACCAGAGACGGCCAACAUGAACCCUUUCUAUAUUGAAGGUUAAAACAAUUAGUACCUAUUAUCGUUCCGAAGGUUGUUCUGUAUGUUACCACACAGCACCUUGAACCACGAAAACGGCAAAGAGGUACAUUCGGGUUAGGACCCCCUCUUUACACUACAGUAGCAGGAAAGAAAAAAAUAAAGUCGUGCUGACCAAAGAAGGAGGAUAGGAUAUCAACAUACUUUGAUUCGACCACCCAUGUGUACUCGACGUUUACGCGCUCUAUUGGCACCUAAAUGGAGGUUAUUUGGAGAAUCAAAACGUAACCCGUAUAACUGUACACAUAGUCUUAAGUCUUUGCGUCGUCUUUUCAAAGAUGUCUAUAAACCAAUCGGGUCGUUGUCUCGUGACGGCGACGGGCCACGUAGGGUCGCGUUGUCGGCCCAAAAUAAACGGAAGACCUAUUCUGUCGUGCCUACCUACUAUCUAGUACACUCCGAGUUUACCGUGUGAUCUUGAUCUAUCUUGUUGGGUUUCCCUUUAUAGAACACAAGGUCGUAAAAAGGAGAACGCUCACGUCGGGUACGAGGAGCAAGGAGGUGUUGAUAGUCUUUGUCUUCGCUGGUGUUCGAGCUGCUAUAGACAGGGAACCCUCUUGACGUUCAAACGGAGACUUCUGGAAGUGGGACACGAGUAGUACAAUUCCUAUGUCCGAGGCAACGUAAUAGUAGGCUACUGGCGGCCUGGUUCUACCGCGUAGACGCGGACGCCCUUGUAAGUCGUUCCUUGAAGAAGGGACGUGCUGCGGCUCCACUUAAGGAGAUCUAUGCCGCUUUCCUUCCCCUUGGCCUUUGUGGGCCCGCGGAUGUAACUGUUUCUACCACUUCGCGCCUGGAAGCUGGCCUUCUUUUAUAGCGCCUUUUCUCCCCCGCGUUACUCUCCGGCGCCGACCUUCAUGCCGAGGCCCAAGCACCUGCCGCAGAAGGGCCACGAGUCGGGGUACCGCGUCCUGUAGGACCUCGAGCACGUCUUCCCAUGUCUGCGGCGGUUCCAGACCCUCCGCGACCUGUCGCAGGGAGGGUGCGUGCGGGACACCCUGCUGCAGGAGUUGCAGCGGCAGGUCGAGGCGGACUCGGCCGUCACCCUAGGGCAGUAGAGUCAUCCAAGGGGGUUUUGGGGCGUGCGGCGCGAGCCAAAGAAGUCAACUUCGAGACUACCUGCUGUAAAGCUGCCACACUAAGGAGUCUCUCACAGAGUAAUCCAGACGCUCACCUAGCACGUGGCCUCGAGGAAGGCGGGCCUGCACCAGACGAUGUUGGACGAGUAGCUGCGCAUGCCGGCCGCCGCCGCCGACCCGUUCCGCCUCCGGUACAUGCGCCGCGACGACCUCCGGGCCACGCACGGCUGCCUCCUGUGGAUGCGGGAGGAGGACGCGCGGAUGACGUUGCGGCCCAGCGACGUGGCCCGGCUCCCGCAGUAGAGGCUCUACGCCCUCGUGCCGUAGGGAGGCUCGCGCUGGCACAUGUUGCGCAUGGAGCUACCCGACGAGUUCCGCUCCACGAGGCUCUUCCGCCACCUCCACAUGCUCUCCUACUUCGCCCUCGCCACGGCCUGGUUGUGCCUCUGCAUGUGGGAGUACUAGUUACAGAUGCCCUUCAGCUUCGUCGGCUACAGCCGCUACUUCCACAAGUUCCUCUACGUCAGCGACCCCACGUUCCGGUUGUAGACGUGGAUGUGCCGCGACCACUUGCGCAAGCGGUCCCUUCCCGACACGCUCUUCCGGCUCCUCCACAAGCUCCUCUACGUCGUCCGGCCCGUGCUCGGGCUGCAGAUGCGGAUGUUGCGGGAGUACCUCCGGAUGUCGGCGCGUCCCAAGGGCGUCCGGCGGAGCCUCUAGAAGAGGGACUACGUCGUGUACCCCACGCUCGGGCUGUCUCGAAGGAUGUUGUAGGACCACCUGCGGAUGCCCUCUCGGCCGGAGGUGGCUCUCCGCCUCCGCCACAAGCUCAGCGACUUCGCCGUCCCCUACCGCGGCUGCUACUUCAGCGUGUACGACGACGACCGCCGCGUGCGGGCCAGGCCGUUGCACCGCGCCACGCUCCUCCACUACCGCGUCGACGUGUUCAGCCCCGAGCGGGGCCUGUGGAAGCGCGAGUUGCGGUACGAGUUGCGGAUGCCGGCGCGGCCGGCGGAGCCGCUGUACCUCGCCGACGAGCGGCGGUACCUUGCGGCCCCCUGCUCGCUGCACCCGUGCAUGUUGCACCGCCACUUGCGGAUGCCGGCGCGGCCCAUGGACCUCGCCUACCUCCGCCGCAAGCGCAGCGACCUCGCCGCCCCGGAGCGGCGGCUGCACCACUGGACCUGCAGGGCGUACCCGCGGAUGCGGUCCUUCUUCCUCAUGGCCGCCACGGAGCUCUAGAAGCUCCUCUACCACCUGCGGCCCACGAUGGGCCUGCGGCCCUGGCGGUUCCACGAGCAGCGCCGGACGAGACUGCUCGCCGUCCACCUCGUCCAGUGGCGGUAGCAGUCCAGGUACGUGUUCCUCCGGUUCUGGAACAAGUGGUAUACUGUUUCACACUUCUUUUUGAACACAAUUAAUCAAUUACAUCUGAAUCUAUUUCUAAUUAGUAAGUACCUAACAAAUAGAAUGCUUUAAAACAAGAAAAUGCUUAGAUUUUACUUAACUAUACUUUUCAUAAAUGUUCAAACUAAGUCGUUUAGCAGACAUGUUGUUUACACG
rnacentral:rRNA from 1 species